CAAUGGGCGGAAGCCUGAUCCAGCAACGCCGCGUGAGGGAUGACGGCCUUCGGGUUGUAAACCUCUUUCAGUACCGACGAAGCGCAAGUGACGGUAGGUACAGAAGAAGCACCGGCCAACUACGUGCCAGCAGCCGCGGUAAUACGUAGGGUGCGAGCGUUGUCCGGAAUUAUUGGGCGUAAAGGGCUCGUAGGCGGUUUGUCGCGUCGGGAGUGAAAACGCCGUGCUUAACACGGCGCUUGCUUUCGAUACGGGCAGACUAGAGGUAUGCAGGGGAGAACGGAAUUCCUGGUGUAGCGGUGAAAUGCGCAGAUAUCAGGAGGAACACCGGUGGCGAAGGCGGUUCUCUGGGCAUUACCUGACGCUGAGGAGCGAAAGUGUGGGGAGCGAACAGGAUUAGAUACCCUGGUAGUCCACACCGUAAACGUUGGGCGCUAGGUGUGGGGUCCAUUCCACGGAUUCCGUGCCGCAGCUAACGCAUUAAGCGCCCCGCCUGGGGAGUACGGCCGCAAGGCUA
rnacentral:rRNA from 1 species